GUAGGCAUGGCUGCUGAGCCUGCACUGAGUAGAUGGUCCUGGAUGCUCCGGCAGGUGUGGUGCGGCUUGGUUUCCAGCAAUCUUGCUGGUGGGUGUUCAGCCACUGACUGUAUGUGUAUAUCUUUGUCAUUGUUGUUAUCAGUAUUAUGGUGAUGACUUUCUCUGACUUUUAUGCAUUUAGGCUAAAGGAACCUGGAAAAACACAUGAAUCAAAAUAAAAGUUGAUUCACCUUUCCAGGGCAGAGUUACAAGCGUCAAAACUCUCAGGCGAGAUCUGCCAGUGACGUUCUGACCGCAUGCCUCUCUGCAAGGAAAGUGGUAUGUGUUGUUUUUUCCAGCAGUGGAAAUACAAAUGAUUAACUCUGGAAACCAUGGCUGUUUCACUGAUAACUAAUUUGUUUGCUGAUAAAUGAUUACCCAGGAGCCAGAAUAGAGACCCAAAAGUCAAACUGCAAAAAUUAUUAAGUUCCCUCUGUAUGCAGAAUAUUGUGCAACAUGGUUAUGGGUACUACAGUGGAUGUGAGUGUGUAGACCUUGUACAAUAGAGCUUAUAGGCUAAUGAGAAGACAGGAAGAAACAACAGGAACACAUAUAGCUGGAAUGCAGAUGGGAUCUGUGCUACUUACGCUAGCCAUGGGAUGAUUAGAACAAGAUAAGAGACAUGAGGAAGACUUCUUCAAGGAGGUGCUCAAGCCAUGUUUUGGAAAAGAGAACUCAAGGUCUGGCAGGGAGAAAGGAGCAAGGGCAAGUAGAGCUGCAGCUGUCUGGCGCCACUGUAAUGCUGUCUCCUCCUCUGAGUGAGUUCAUCCUGGAAACAUUUUCUCCCAUAAGACAUGCACAGGUCUUACGUUUACAUGUUUCACUGAAAGAAAUUUGAUUCCACUGCUGGGAUGACAAGGAAGACUGAAGAAACCUAAUCCUAGGUGCUGCCACUGGGACAAACAAGAAGCACCAGACACAGUGCUGUUUUAGGGUGGGGCAGAAUUAUGCUGAGGGAAAAGUUAUUAUCACUCUUUAAGGCCAAGGAAACCACAAUUUUUAAAGAAGCUUCUAGAAAUUCUACCCAGUAGAAAAUAAAGAUAAACUUCUGUAAGGAAUUUCAUUCUUUUCAGAAUUCGCAAUCUGAAAUGUAGAAGCCCAUUCCUUCAUGGUUCUCAUAGAUAUUUAGUGUGACUGAGGGGUCAGUGGACUCAUAGCACUCAGGCCAGGCUUCUCCUGAGUCCCUUUCUUUGGCACAGAGGGAGUGAUUCACAGAUCCUCUACCCCCAAAGGCAUUGUUUCCUCAUCUCAACAAGAAUCCAGCACCCGUCAUUUUAUCAGCACACGUCACUAGCUUCUCAAGUGAGACUACUCUGAAGUGAUCUGUGUUUGAAGAAUGCCUUUCCCUUUCCCUUACGUAACUAAGAGGAUGAAAAAGGACACUCACUCCCUAUAUGAAAGCUGUGUAUUGUAAGCAGUCAUCUUGCCUGGCUGAGAACUCUAGGAUCUUUUUCUCUGCUCUCCUUUAGGCUGACACUCAUAGCCAGACCUUCUGUUUAUUAGCCCCCUGAAUCUAUUUGAAAAUAUUUUUGCUUUCAUUAUAAUAUAAGUCACAUUCUUCUUGCAUCUGCCGCUGCAUUUUCCAAAAGGGUUAUGUCAAGGGAAAUUCAACACUCACUUUUCUCAUUAUUUGCUUACCAGCUUGCUCACUCAUCAAAAUACCAGAGUUAUUUGAUACUUCAGAAGAUUAUUUCCCCCUUUAGAUGAUGUGUCAAGGGAAGGGGAGCUGGCCCCAGUAUCAGGUGACAGAAUUUUCUUCGCAUUUCUACUGUUGACUCAAUAAAUGCCCUUGGGCAAGUCAUGGAGCCUCUUCAUACUUUGGUCUCUAGGGAUAAAAUCUGCCAACCGCAGCAUGUGUAUUUGAACCUCAGUGUCCUCUGGAAUAAAAAUAGGAGGGGACCAGGUGUCCAUGUGACCCCAAGCUGAUGGGAAGAGGAUGACCAUAGGACUUCAAAAUGUCCUUGAGCUGUAAAUUCUGUAAUAGGGUCAGGCCCACCAGUGGCCUUCAGGCAUUUGUCCAGUGGUGUAUGGAUAAGUUCUAGCACUUGAGUUUUUUCAGCACAAAGGAGGCACUAUGUCAACCUCCCACCCAUGGGUAUUCUGUUUGCUCUGUGUCCCCGCUUCUCUGCAUUUCCCUGCCAUAUUACUCACCACUGGUCGUAAUUACUUGCUUGAUCACUUGUCUCCUGGUCUGUAAGCUGUUUGAGGGAGGGGAGCACAUCUGCCCUAUGCAACACUGUACCCUCAGUGUGGUACACAGGAGCACAUGCCUGACAUAUGGAAGUUAUGUGAGAAACAUUUGUGAAGUGGACAAAUUAAUAAUGCUGCCUGGACUCUAUAGAAAUCCCUUUUCUGCAUCAUUAAGGUUCCCAAGCCUGGCCAAGAAGUAGUGGGAUCUGAUUAGCCUCAUCUCCUCAUAACCCUACUUCCUAUAAUAUUAUAAUGAAAGCAGAUCUCAGCCCAAAUGCUGGCACACAUACAUAUUUAUCAGUAAGAAGAUCCAAAAUCGUUCAUGCAGCUGGUUCUGUAAGCUUGGCAAAUUUCCAGCCCUCUGAACUUUUCAGUGCUUUGUCCACACUCUACAUGAAAGGGCCUCUUAAGAGUGACAGGGCAGUAUUCUAAAGACCAGAUUUUAAUUGCACCAGGUAACUGAAUUGUCUGAAUUCACAGCUGAACACAGGACAAGGUCAGAAUCAUAUUUCUUAUGCCAUUUAGAAAGGUGACAAGUGAAGGGCUGGCCAAAAUCUUACACCCAGCUUACGUAAGAGUAGAGACUGUCCCUAAUGCUUUCCCCAGUCCACUUGUCUCGAACACCAUUAGGUUCAAUAGUAAAAGCCCAUUUCUCACUUGCUUCAUGUUAAUUGACUGAUCACUAAUUUUACCAAUAAGAAGCCAUUUUUAUUAUUUAUCAUUAUGAUUUUUAUCAUUUUGUUAAUUAGCCAAGCUUCUGCUGUUGACUCCAGAUAAAGAGAGUUAAAGCACUUGGGGUGACCACCUAAGUAGAUUUUUUCAUGGUGAACAAAUGGAAGCAACAGAAACAGCUCAGACUUUUGAAAAGUGAUGAAAAAGGCCCAUGAUGCCCUGCUCCUUGAAAAUGAAGAAGAGGAUGACUUAGCCCUGCAGGGCUCUUUUCUUUGCAUGUUCUUACCAACCCUCAGGGGAGAUUCAGUCUACUAGCUGGCUUCCCCACGUGGACCUCACUCUGUGGCAAGUAACUGGGAGUAAUUUACCUUCUGGGUUCUCUUACAACCCCCUUAGCUAUGUAGGUGAUUUCAGGCCCAAGGGGGAAGAUAUCAGAUAAGCCAGAACAUUUUGAUUCUACUGACCGAGUUUCCUCACCUCCCUCCCUUUGUUUCUGAUAAAUACAUACGUUAAGGUCAGCUGAAGAGUUGUCUGUGAUAAUUGCCCUGAAUCCUCACUCACUCCUCUGAAUUUCUGUCUUCUGUAGCCUCUUAGCCAUGUUGCAGGUGAAGGUCUCAAGUCAUUUGCACCACUAGGAAUCGUUUGUGUUAUUGUGACUGAUAUAUGUCCUCAGAGUUGUAUCAGUGUUGUCCCCUACACACACAUGCACAUACAUGCACCACACAAUAUGCACGUUCUAUAAGACAGAGCCUCUAUUUUUGGUGUCUGCUUAGCCCUCCAGUUUCCCAUUGGGAUUAGUUGUUUUCUCCAAGCUUCAGACAACUUGGAGAUCCUGCCUAACUUUGGUUGCUCUUCCUUGUCAGACUGGAACUUACCCUCAGUAUGGUACAACCAAUCACUGGCUCUCAGGGAACUCAUCACCCUGAACUAUGCCUGACAGGACAGGAGCACCAUCAUCUCGGACAAACACUGCCACUUUAAGUUCCAGCUCCCUUUCUAGCCUCAGGCAUUUCAAGAAAAUCACUUGUCUUCUCAUUACAAGCAGUCAGAAAGAGCAGACAGUAAAAUACAGAUAAGACGGGCACAGAGGGAAGUGGGAGGAAAGUCUCUUGGGUAACUGCCAAACUUCACCCUCAUACAAUGGGCCCCAGUAAAACAGUGGGCCUUAAUAAGCACAUUCCUUUCCUUUCAGGUGCACUAAGAUAGGAAGGCUAAAGGCAGAUUGGGGGGAUAUGCCUGCAGCUACAGAAAGAUGUAUGGGAACAGACACACAACUCUCCCUCCCAAAUAAGCACAACAGAGAGACACAGAAGCAGUCCAAGCCUCUGAUAAACUCUCCCACCCUGAAUCUUUAAAAACUCUUAGUCUGCAAGAGAGUGUGGCUUCUGACCUAACUCGAUCAGAAGUCCCUCCCAGGUUUAAAAUAAACCUGUUAACUGUUGAGCCACCCUUCGUGUUUCUCUCCUCUUUCUUUAAUUCUUACAAUGCCUUCCUGAUGGCUGACUGCCAGGAAACCCCUUGGAUACAAUAGCCUGAAGCUGCUUACUCCCCUGGGUGUUGCCCUCCUGGCUACCCAUGGAAGAGCAAGCCCUGUUGACAAGAGCUUCCCCCAGCUCUAAUCCUACCUGGUUAUGGUUUAUUUUCUUUCCCCACCAUCUGGGCAGUUAUGUUGGCCCAAGGAAUUUGACUCAGUAUUAUCAUAGCAUAGAGCUAAUUUUAUAUGUAUUUAUUUCCAUGGUAAACAAGUUAUUCCCAUUGUCUGUCAUUCCCACUAAGCCUGCUAGGGACAGCCCAAAGGAGCAGCUCUAAGUGAGGAUACUUUGCCCUGUAUGACCCCGUCCCUAGAGCAGAUUGGUUCAUGGUUGACACCUAACAAAAAGACAGCCAAUCGAUAGGUUGGUCAGCAACUUUUCUCAUAACCUGACGCAUACAUAAAAGCUGGGUUAAACGCCAUUUCUACCUUGGAAAUUUAACCAAAGAAAGGUCAAGAAAAAGCGAAAAGACUUGGGAGGAUGCUUUGAAAUGAAAAGAUAAGAAUUGGAGCUACAGUAGGUUGUAAGAAGCCCCGGUUGCAAAAUAUUGAAACUAUGAGCAAGCUGUAGUGAUGGUGGAGAGAAGAGUUUCAGGCCAAGGGAAAGAAGCAGCUCAGAGGAGACUGAGCUAGGCCAGUGGACAUGGCCCCCUAACUCCUGCCACAGAGCCCUGGAGUCUCCUGGAGCCAGAGUGGCUCCUCAGUCCCAGGGCAGUGAGGCCUAUCCCUUCCAAUGCCUCUUCCUUCCUUCUGUGGAAGACCAACUCCAUUGAUGUUCCAUGUUUAUCUCCCUCCUGAGCUAACCUAGCUGAGUCUGCUCCUUACAAUCAAGAAAACCCACCCACUUUACUGGAUUCUCUCUGUGUGCAGCGAUGGUGGCAUAUAUCUUUGUAGCUUUUUGCCUCUAAUAUAAUGCAUUAUAAGGGUAAGUGAUGAGUUCUCAGUAAAUGAAUGUUGAAUAAACGAAUUUUUGAAAGCGCAAAGGAACAGACAAGUUCAUACACUUACUGUUAUGUUGUAAAGUCUUCAGUUUGGCUUUCUCAAAGUUGAACAAAAGAUGGCUACAUUCCUAGCGUCCCCCCAAGCCUUUUCCUAGUCCAUGAGUUUAGAGAUGGACUGCAAAUUUUAAACAAUACAAAUCUAGAAUCAGAUUCAAAAUCUCCUUCAAGAGGACAAACACUCUACUCCUAUUCUCAAUCCAGUUUUUUGAACUGAUCAGCCCACACACGCACGCACCCAUUUAAAAACAUAAAAACCAUCCUUGCAUUGUGAGCUGUAUCAAAUCAGAGGAUGAGAACAUGGACGCAGGUUUGGGGUCCCUGCUUCCUACCCUAGCUGAGUGCUGGGGGAACAGGCUGUAGAAUAGAUGCCUCAGGUCAACAUGGGGGGCUCCCAGGGUGGAAAGACUAGGGUCUCCCUUCCCAAGGUGAGUUCUGGAGUGACUGUGAGCCCUAGUGAAGCUUCAUGUCCCCCAUGGUACCAGAGCAGCAGAGCAACGGUGGCCAAGGGGCCUGGACAGAAUACCCUGGAGCCAGCUUUGUGACAGGCCCCUACAAAUGAUAAGGACAAAGAGUCAAAGUUCCUGAGCCUCCAUUUCAAAGGAGAGAAGAAGAUGAUGAUGGCUGGCCAGCAAAUUCAGAGAAGACUGGGUUGGAAGGCGAGAUCUGCCUGGACUCUACAACCAGAGGCCAUUACAAGAUGGUGUCCCCUUGGCCAAUACAGCAGGGGAAACAGCUGAUGCCCAAAGACCGCAUGGUUUGGAGGAGGCUCUCCUCAGAGAAGAAGUGGCCUGCCUCCACUCCUCUGGGUUCCCUAGAGCUGGUCCUCUUCUCCCUGAAGGCUGUCACAGUUCCUGUGCAGAGAGAGAGGGCACUGCAGCACCCAGGCGCUGACUGCCUUUUGUCAGUCUCAUUUGCAGGCCCCCAGCUGGAGAACCCAGGAGGAAGAGGAAAAAAGUUUUUUCCUCCUCUACACUCCCCAUGCAUGACUAAAGAGUAGGAGGAGUCAGCAAGGCAGACAUAUAUAGUACCCAGGAGGUGGACAAACAACUGCCUUGGUGGAAACUCUGUCCUUUCUGGACUUAUCCUGGUGCCACUGAGACUGUGCAGGUCCCACACUUACAGGGAAAGCAUCACCCGAAAGUGAGAAUGCCUAGAGGCAGGAAUCAUGGAGGCUUCCUUAACCGUCUGUCUGCAACAGCAGGUGCUAGAGAUGACACUGCAGAGUAGAGAACAAAGGAAUCUUAGUAAUUGUUCAAUCCAAUCUCCACACUUUAAAGAUGAAGAAACUGGUAUUGAGAAAAAUACACAGCUUAUCCAAGGUUGCACUGCUGGUUGGUAGCUGAGAUGAAUUUAGAACCCACAUCUGAUGACUACACCAUAUUGCUCCCAGUUUUCCUGUCUGUUCCACAUGUAAAAGUCUGACUCUUCACUUCUCCUUUGAGUAUAUAGACUUUUAACAUUUUUGUAUGUCAAGAUGGACUUUUCCUCAUACCCAGCCCCUGCCUUUUCUCCUCCCUUCAUACCUUGCAGGAUCUUUAACAGAAUUUAAAAGGAGUUUUUUGUUUUGUUUUGAUGUAUCUAAUAAAAGUCAAGGGAGGGAGAGGGCCAGUAUAAGCAAGAGUACAGUUUCCUAGUUUGUAGAUGCGGUAGUCUGAGGAAUCAGAAACACACAAAGGUUUGGAGAACUGGUACAUGCUCCCAGGUGGGAAGCCAGGACUCUUGGUAGGAUCUUGAGGACAAGGCAAAGGACAAUAAGAGAGCGAGGGGAUCCUAGAGGUGGAAUCAAGGAAGAGAAACUAGAGAGAGAAAAAGGAACUGGCUAUCCAUCCAUGAUGGAUCCUGUGUGGACUGAUGGGUGGCUUGGCAUCAUCCUUUAGUAGACUUCAUGUGGUUGAAUAAUUGGCCAAUGGAAGGAAUUUCUUUUUUGGUAACAGACUCUGUGUGUACAGUUAUGGGUCUUAAUUUAUAAUAAAAGGUUACAUUGAAAAUUGAGCAUAUUGGCAACUUUGGGCUUUAAUAUUACUACUGUGCUAUUUAGGUCCCAACCAUCCUAGCUAAUCUGGGCAUUCUUGAAACAGCUCUCAUUAUUGGUAUGUCAAACCGUCUCAUAGGGCAUGUACUUAACAAAAGUGGAGUGAAGGGUUCAGGAUGCAUAAAUGGGGUGAAGCUCGUGGUAUUCCAUUCCUUUUUACUGAAGCCACUCCUACCAGCUGCCUUCUAGAUUGUUCACCUUAUAUGAGCAUGGUGCAGUAUAGAAGUUGUAGACUUUGGCCUCAGACAGAUCUAAAUUCUAAUCUCAGAUCACUACUUCCUGGUUGAGGACAAGAUUUCUUUAACCACCCCAAGUCCCAAUUUUCUCAUGUCUAAAAUGGCAGAAAUAAUGUGUACUUUGCAGGGUUGUUGUGAGAGUUAAGUAAUAUGGGUAAUGCACUUGGGACAGUGCUUCACACAAAAUUGUCAGUAAAUGGUGAUCUUUCUUUUCCUGGCACUACAAAGCUGAGGAGAGGAGGGAGGGAGGGAGAUGAAUGUCUGGAGGAAGAAAGGGCAGGAGUUUCUUCAUCUUUGAGUGAAGGAGCAUUGAGGGUUAGCAGGGAUAUAGGAAUAGUGAGUUGGCUGGGAAGAAAAAAAGGAUUAAAAGAGGAAAAGAAUAGGAAAAAAGAAGGAUACCAUGGAGAAAAUGGGCAACGGCCCCAGAAAGAAGAGCAAGAAUGGCAGUGAUGGUGAGCAUUGCUGGAAUGAUGGAAGGUUCUCCGGCCCCGGUGAUGCGUGGGCACCACCGGAGAGCUUGUUAGAAAUGCAGAGUCUCUGUCCCUCCCCAGACCCUCUGAAUCAUAAUUUGCAAUUUAAUGAGAGGUCCCCAGGUGAUUCCCAUAUCCAUUAAUUCUGCAGAGUUGAUGUUUUCAUCUGCGGUGGCGGGGGGCGG
rnacentral:lncRNA from 10 species